CGAGGGGCCACGAGGAAGGCUGAUACUGAAGGCUUAAGGCGCCGUAUAAAAUGAUAGGAAGAAAGGUGACGAUAAAUCAUUGUAGACAGGAAAGAUUAUCGGCUAUUGACCCACAACACAGUUCUCUUAUAACCUGAAAGAUUCCAUCUUUGACAGAAAUUCGUCACCUAAAAUGACGUUAGAGAAACUGUUUUACGUCGGUGUCUACAUCACACAAAGACACCACUUCUUUCCCGUCAGCUGCUUUCUGGCAAGAGACGGAAUUGAUUCCGCUGUACGGAAAGGACACACCUAUUACGUAUUGGGAAUAAUGAUAAGAGAGCGGAAAUUAUCACAGUUAUGUGUGUAUUCCAAUCAACCAGCCGUGGACACGACCGUACACAAACAAAUGCAAAUGUUGUAUGAUACCACAUAAUAUAUACCAGAUUGCAUUUCAACAUUAACUGGACAUUUUUACAUACUGAGAUUAUUGGACUUCAUACACAGGAAACUAUUGUAUUGUCUAAAUGUUCAUAUGAAUGUGUUGCCAAUAUUAUGUCCUUUUUUAAAUUCUCCAAUUUCAGCAAAUCUGAUCAGAGCUGUGCAUGAAAAUAACAAUAUCAAUGGCACAUCAAUGUUUUAUUCAUACCAAGGACAUUCUCCUGGCUGUGUGUGUAUGAAGAAUUUUUUAAAUCUUUGUGUUUUAUUUGUGACUUUUUCUACAUGUUUUAAUCACGUAUUCUUAUAAACAUAUCGAACAAGUUGAUCUCAAAGGAAAUCGUAUUCUCAUUGUUUUGUUGGUUUUAAAAUGUUGGUGAUGCUUUAAGCGUACAUUCCCAAUGAUAAAGGUGUAUCAUUUACGCAGUAAAAGUGCCAUAACUAUCAAAUAUUUAUGAAUAAACUAAUGACGUCACA